UACGUAGGGUGCAAGCGUUGUCCGGAAUUAUUGGGCGUAAAGAGCUCGUAGGCGGCUUGUCGCGUCGACUGUGAAAUCUCAGAGCUCAACUCUGACAUUGCAGUCGAUACGGGCAGGCUAGAGUUCGGUAGGGGAGACUGGAAUUCCCGGUGUAGUGGUGAAAUGCGUAGAUAUCGGGAGGAACACCAGUGGCGAAGGCGACUAUCUGGGCUGCAACUGACGCUGAGGCGCGAAGGCUAGGGUAGCAAACAGG
rnacentral:rRNA from 1 species